CGGGUUGAAGUCCUUCAGUGUUCACAUGGAGAACUAGAAUAUGCAGGUGCAGGUGUGGUUUGCAUGGUUACAGUUAAGCCUCCACUAGUAAAAGCCACGAGGUCAUCGAACUCCAUUUGUGAGUUAACAGACAAAGCAAGAUGUACAUUUCCCAGUUGCUGUCAAAACAAUCAGUUGUCAUAAAUUACCACAACCAAUUGUCUUCCUGAGGUUGGCCCUUUGCCAAGGGGAAUGAGAAACCAAUAUCCUUAGGAUACUCAUCACACAGAAACGAUAGAAAUGAGACAAGAGUUGCUUUUGACGAAUGUGAGAAAACUAUGCAUUGGAGGAACAUGAGAAGGCUGCCAGCAGCCAGAAAGAUGCAGUGUGAACUUGCCUCAGAGAACCCCCAUGAGUCGGCUGGCCACACAGGCCCAAUGUGGACCCCCCUUCCUCCCUCAGAACACCUGACAG